rnacentral:rRNA from 1 species
UGGAGGCAGCAGUGAGGAAUUUUGCACAAUGCCCGAAAGGGUGAUGCAGCAACGCCGCGUGAGGGAUGAAGGCUCUCGGGUCGUAAACCUCUUUCGAUCGGGAAAAAUGGGCGGGUGAAGAGCCCGUUCUGAUGGUACCGGAUGAAGAAGCCCCGGCCAACUACGUGCCAGCAGCCGCGGUAAUACGUAGGGGGCGAGCGUUGUUCGGAAUUACUGGGCGUAAAGGGCGUGUAGGCGGUGCGAUAAGUCGGAUGUGAAAUCCCCGGGCUCAACCCGGGGCGGUCAUUCGAAACUGUCGCGCUAGAGGGUGGGAGAGGGAAGUGGAAUUCCCGGUGUAGCGGUGAAAUGCGUAGAUAUCGGGAAGAACACCGGUGGCGAAGGCGGCUUCCUGGCCCACAACUGACGCUGAGGCGCGAAAGCUAGGGGAGCAAACAGGAUUAGAUACCCUAGU